rnacentral:rRNA from 1 species
AACCUCCGCAAUGUGAGAAAUCGCGACGGGGGGAUCCCAAGUGCCAUUCUUAACGGGAUGGCUUUUCAUUAGUGUAAAGAGCUUUUGGAAUAAGAGCUGGGCAAGACCGGUGCCAGCCGCCGCGGUAACACCGGCAGCUCUAGUGGUAGCAAUUUUUAUUGGGCCUAAAGCGUCCGUAGCCGGUUUAAUAAGUCUCUGGUGAAAUCCUGUAGCUUAACUGUGGGAAUUGCUGGAGAUACUAUUAGACUUGAGAUCGGGAGAGGUUAGAGGUACUCCCAGGGUAGAGGUGAAAUUCUGUAAUCCUGGGAGGACCGCCGGUUGCGAAGGCGUCUAACUGGAACGAUUCUGACGGUGAGGGACGAAAGUUAGGGGCGCGAACCGGAUUAGAUACCCGGGUAGUCCUAACUGUAAACGAUGCGGACUUGGUGUUGGGGUGACUUUGAGCUGCUCCAGUGCCGAAGGGAAGCUGUUAAGUCCGCCGCCUGGGAAGUAUGGUCGCAAGACUGAAACUUAAAGGAAUU